GCCAGUGUGGUGUAGUGGUUUGAGGGUUGGACUAUGGCUCUAGAGACCAGGGUUCGAAUCCACACUUGGCCA
rnacentral:tRNA from 1 species